rnacentral:rRNA from 1 species
CCUACGGGAGGCAGCAGUGAGGAAUAUUGGUCAAUGGCCGGAAGGCUGAACCAGCCAUGCCGCGUGAAGGGCAGGGCCCUAGGGGCGUUAAACUUCUUUUGUCGGGGAGCAAAAGCCGGACGGGUCCGGCUGUGAGAGUACCCGAAGAAAAAGCAUCGGCUAACUCCGUGCCAGCAGCCGCGGUAAUACGGAGGAUGCGAGCGUUAUCCGGAUUUAUUGGGGUUACAGGGUGCGCAGGGGGAUUUUUAAGUCAGCGGUCAAAUCGUGGGGCUCAACCCCAUCCAGCCGUUGAAACGGGGGGUCUAGAGUGUGCGAGCGGUAUGCGGAAUGCGUGGUGUAGCGGUGAACUGCAUCGCUAUCACGCAGAACCCCGAUUGCGAAGGCAGCAUACCGGUGCACAACUGCCGCUCACGCACGAAAGCGUGGGUAUCGAACAGGAUUAGAUACCCGGGUAGUC